UACGUAGGGGGCAAGCGUUGUCCGGAAUCAUUGGGCGUAAAGAGCGUGUAGGCGGCCCGGUAAGUCCGCUGUGAAAGUCCAGGGCUCAACCCUGGGAUGCCGGUGGAUACUGUCGGGCUCGAGUCCGGAAGAGGAGUGUGGAAUUCCUGGUGUAGAGGUGAAAUGCGCAGAUAUCAGGAGGAACACCAAUGGCGAAGGCAGCACUCUGGGACGUGACUGACGCUGAGACGCGAAAGCGUGGGGAGCAAACAGG
rnacentral:rRNA from 1 species